rnacentral:rRNA from 1 species
AACGAACGCUGGCGGCAGGCCUAACACAUGCAAGUCGAGCGAAGCCUUCGGGCUUAGCGGCGGACGGGUGAGUAACGCGUGGGAACGUGCCCUUUGCUACGGAAUAGCCCCGGGAAACUGGGAGUAAUACCGUAUGUGCCCUUCGGGGGAAAGAUUUAUCGGCAAAGGAUCGGCCCGCGUUGGAUUAGGUAGUUGGUGGGGUAAUGGCCUACCAAGCCGACGAUCCAUAGCUGGUUUGGGAGGAUGAUCAGCCACACUGGGACUGAGACACGGCCCAGACUCCUACGGGAGGCAGCAGUGGGGAAUCUUAGACAAUGGGCGGAAGCCUGAUCUAGCCAUGCCGCGUGAUCGAUGAAGGCCUUAGGGUUGUAAAGAUCUUUCAGGUGGGAAGAUAAUGACUGUACCACCAGAAGAAGCCCCGGCUAACUCCGUGCCAGCCGCCGCGGUAACAC